rnacentral:lncRNA from 1 species
ACACAAGGGAAAGUGACUUAUCACUGGGCCCAGCACACAGGCCCUGCAUUUAUUGUGUAUUGUGACAUAUGGCUUGGUCCAACACCUAGGUGGUGUGACUCUCUACUUCUUCCUGUGCCAUGCCAAAGAAGAGGAUUGUGACAUAUCACUGGAUCCAGCACCUAGGUGGAUGGUGACUCUAAGACCAGGAUUCAACACAACUAGAAGGCUUUGACUCUAAUACGAGUCACAGAAGGCUCUGCGACUCUUCUAUUUUCUCUAGGUUAUGCAAAUGGAGGUGGAUUGUGACAUAUCAUAGGGCCAACACAACACACAGUCUACAGGUGGAAUUGGGACUCUCAUGCAUGGAUCCAGUUCAUCAUUGAUACUGUGACUCAGGUGGGAUUUUGACAUAUAACUGCACCCAGCACACAGGUGAGAUUGUGACUCUUGUAUGCUCAUCCUGCCAAAAGUUGAGUGUCACCCUCACACAUGGACAGAGACUUCUGGUAAGGUCUUGAAUCUUGUACAUGGACACAGUCCACAGCUGGAAUGUCAUAUGUAGAUCCAGCCACAGGUGUGAUGUUGACCUAUUUAUAAAGUUAGCUCACAGGCACAUUGAUAACUCUCAUACCUGGAUCCAGCCAAUAAAAUAUAUGUUGACUAUUAUAGCUAGGCUUGAGUAAACUGGUAGGGUCCUGGGUCUUCUACCUGUAUGAGAGUCACAGAAGAUUAUGACACUUAUGGAAAUUACAUAAAGCCCUCUGGCAAUGCAAAGUUUUAUCACGGGGCCCCACACGCAGGUGAGAUUGUGACUUCAAUAUGCAGACAAAGCUAACAGUUAGUAUUGUUACCUUCACAUAUAAACAGAGCCCACUGGUGAGGUUCUAAAUCUCACACACCAAAAAAA